rnacentral:lncRNA from 1 species
UUGUAGCUAGCAGCAAGGUGUAGGAUAGUCAAUCCAGUAUAGAUCUAUACGCAAACUCACGCUCUCCCUCCAAGAGAAUUCUGGCUACAACUCGGGCCAUGACAUUUAAGGCAUGCUCCGACACAGUGGAUCACAAUUGUUAACGUGUUCAUGUAUAUGUAAUGUUUCUCGUUCUAGUAUAAUUGUAUAUGUUCUCCUUCUAGUAUAGAUGUAUAUGUCCUGUUUCUAGUAUAGAUGUAUAUGUUCAUGUUUCUAGUAUAGAUGUAUAUGUUCAUGUUUCUAGUAUAGCUGUAUAUGUUCAUGUUUCUAGUAUAGUUGUAUAUGUUCAUGUUUCUAGUAUAGUUGUAUAUGUACGAUCCUGUGUUACCCCGAUGGUAACUAACUAAUGAUGUAUAUAGUACGCAUGUAUAUGGAAGUACUUUUAUGUCUAUAUAUGUAUAUAUGAUAUAUAAGUAAUAUUGAAACGACCUUCGGAUGGUCACCCGAAAUCCCACCAGACCACAUCUCAAGGCGCGAAAAGGAAAUAGGGCGGAUGGCCUUCCUAAGCCCUUUAAACAUUAUUUAUACAUCUAUACAUAUAUGGGCAUGCAAUUGAAUAUAUAAAAGCAUAAAAUAAGUUUUCAUAAAACAUUUGAAGCAUAAAUAUUAUUUCAAGAAAAGAUCGACUUGAUGUCAAUCUUUAAAACAAUUAGAAGGCAUAAGUUAAUAAAACAGUUUAAGUAUAAGAAGCAUUUGUUUGAAUCACAGUCUAUAAAUAAGUUUGGAUAGUAAAAGAGUUUGUAAAACAUUUCAAAGUAAAGCAGUUUGAUAAACAGUUUGAACAGUGGUAAAAAUCGUUGUUUUCCUAGUUAUUAAUCACAUGUGAUUAAAUGCAAUCACAUGUGAUUGAAGCAAUAACUAUAAGUAUUUGACUUGUAUCCCCCCCAUAAAGUAUUUAAAACAUUUAAAAUCAUUUCAAAGGUUGAUUCAAGGGGUAUGAACUCACUUGUGGUGAGUUGUACGAGUUGCAGUGUCGGAUACCGUGCUAGGUGGCAAAUGGAGACUUGCUUACACGCACGAGCCUAGUUAUCAUAUAAUAAGCAUAUAUAUAACUAAUUAGGCAAAUAAUAACUUAAGAAAUAAGUUAAGACACUUAGGAACAUGAAAACACUUUUUAUAAGUGUUAAAGGUCCUAAUGGUUGCAUCUAAGUUGCUACGGGACAAGGCAAAAGGGUUUGAAACAUCAAAUGGCCUUGCAUAAGAGUUCACCACCCAACAAACCCCACCCUUUGGAGUUUACGGCCGUAAACUCAUGGGUUUAUGGCCGUGAACUCCUCACUUGGUGGUUUUGGGUGUUUUAAAGUGUUAUCUUGAUCCUAGAACACUCCUAGCUUUGUUGGAAUUAUAAAUGAAGUAGUUUAAGGCCCUAGAAUGCUCCAUAGGGGAGUUUACGGCCUAAUGUCCAUAUACCCUAGAGUUUACGGCCGUAAACUCCUAUGGGGUGAUGACUUUUAAUUCAUUUGAGGCACUUGCACAUCUAGGAUAGCUUCCAUGAUUUUAUCUAACGCUAAUGGGGACAAGAGGCACACAUUUGUGCCUUCACUUGGAGUUUACGGCCCAAGAGGUGUUCCUUGGCCGUAAACGCCCUUUAAGGGAUGUUCUUGACGUCUUUUACUCCCCAUUCAAGUCCUAGGUGUUCAAUGGUAAUUGUCUUAAAGCCUUAGGGUGUUUGUGGUGCAUUUAACCCUUGGAAAAGGGGUUUACAGCCCAAGAGAGGUUCUUGGCCAUAAACUCCUAUAAACCUAUGAUUUUGAAGUAUUUUGAUGUCCAAAAUAGGUACAAGCAUUUGAGGGUUAAAGUCCUUAAGCUUUAGGGGUAGUUUUGGGGACUAAAUGCCCUUGAAAAGGGGUUUACGGCCCAAGAAAAGUCCUUGGCCGUAAACUCCUAUUACUUGUUGAUUUUGGAUGCUUUCUAGUCUCUUAUGAUCAUACACAAGGUCCUUUACAAGUUGUCUAUCAAGGGAAUGGGACUAGGAAGCCUUAAAGUUCCAUUUUUUGAGUUUACUCCCCAAGAACGUUCUUGGGCGGUAAACUCCCAGAUCUUGUAAUCUAAACAUGUAAUUGAUGUUAUAACGCAUCUAACGAGUAUUGAAACACAUUUAGUAAAGUAGACUCACAAUCUGGGAUGAAAACCCGAAGAUCCGUCAGAGAGAAUAUGGCUUUUCUAUAUUUGGAAUUGUGAAUAAUGAAUUAAUUUAAUUCAGAAAACUAUUUAUAGUCCUGGAAUAUUCUGGCAGAAAAUAUUUUUAUUCUAGAUAUUGGACUGCAACAUUAUGAAACUUGGAAUGCUCAAAUUUGACAAAACCAGGAGAAUCCAAUCUCCUGAUGUCCCCUUAAACAGAAACCCUAAUGUACACAAACUGGUUCGGAAAAGUAUGAAAAUCACUGAAACUGGACUAGCUUCUAUUGAAUAGAUAAUGUUCGUACAAAUGGAAAUUUUGGGUUGUCACAUCAUCCCCCUGUUAGAGGGAAUUUCAUCCCGAAAUUAGAAUUUAAGCAAAGAUGAAGAUACAACAAUUAAACGAAAAGAUGAGGGUAUUUUUGUUUCAUCUGAUCCUCGCGUUCCCAAUUGAAUUCCGGUCCUCGCUUGGCGUUCCAGCGAACCUUCACGUUAGGGAUACGACUUUGCUUCGUCUGCUUGACCUCACGGUCCAUGAUCUCUACCGGUUCUUCCACGAAGUUGAGGCUCUCGUUGAUCUCGAUCUCGUCGAGUGGGAUUACAAGAGUCUCGUCGGACAGACACUUUUUCAAGUUAGAUACGUGGAAUGUAGAAUGUACGUUACGAAGUGUGUCGGGUAGGUCGAGUUUGUAAGCUACGGGGCCGACUCUGGCAAGAAUCUUGAAAGGCCCUAUAUACCUCGGAUUAAGCUUCCCACGCUUGCCGAAGCGUAUCAAGCCCUUCCAGGGUGAGACUUUGAGAAGGACUCGGUCUCCCACCUGAAAUUCCAAAGGUUUUAUUCGUUUAUGGGCGUAGCUCUUCUGUCGGUCUCUAGAGGCUUUCAAUCGUUCACGGAUCUGAACGAUUUUCUCUAUCGUUUCCCGAAUGAUUUCCGGACCGGUGAGAGUACUGUCGGAAGCUUGCCCUCUUGCUAAUUGGGUAUCACCCACCUCAGCCCAGCACAGAGGGGAUCUGCACUUUCGGCCGUAGAGAGCUUCGAAUGGAGCAGCUUUGAUGCUCGUGUGAUAACUAUUAUUAUAGGAAAAUUCGACAAGGGGUAAAUUAGUAUCCCAUGCUUUCCCAAAAUCAAUCACACAGGCUCGCAACAUAUCUUCCAGUGUUUGGAUGGUCCUCUCACUCUGUCCGUCGGUCUGUGGAUGGUAGGCUGUGCUCAUGUCCAGCCUUGUUCCUAGGGAAUGUUGUAGUGAUUGCCAAAAUCUUGAGGUGAACCUACUAUCUCUAUCGGAGAUAAUGGACAUAGGUACACCAUGUAGCCGUACGAUUUCCCUAAUGUAUGUUCUCGUAAGCUUCUCCAUCUUGUCGGUUUCUUUGAUAGGCAGGAAGUGUGCAGACUUGGUCAAUCUAUCAACGAUGACCCAUAUGGUGUCAAGUCCACCCGUUGUCUUGGGCAACUUGGUUAUGAAAUCCAUAGUGAUCCGCUCCCACUUCCAUUCCGGGAUCUCUGGUUGCUGCAAUAAACCAGAGGGCUUCUGGUACUCGACCUUAACCUUUGCGCAAGUAAGGCAUUUACUUACGAAGGUAGCAAUCUCUGCUUUCAUAUUAGGCCACCAGUAUAGCUUCUUAAGAUCCAGAUACAUCUUAUCUGAACCUGGGUGGACGGAAUACCGAGUGUUGUGCGCCUCGGUCAUGACCAAGUCUCGGAAGCCACCAUGUUUCGGUGUCCAGAUCCGGUUCAUGAAAUAUAAAGCUCCGUCACCCUUGGCUUCUAAAUUCUUGUCCAUUCCUCUAAGGGAUUCACUUGACACAUUUUCAGAUUUCAUGGCCUCAAGUUGAGCCGCCUGAAUUUGCUUAGUCAGGUGUGAAUGGAUGGUUAUCGAUAAUGACUUGACUUUGCGACCAGAAUAUUCCUUCCGACUUAGGGCGUCUGCUACUACGUUGGCUUUACCCGGAUGAUAACGAAUAUCGCAUUCGUAAUCACUGAGUAGCUCGACCCAUCGCCGUUGUCUCAUGUUGAGCUCCUUCUGAUCGAAAAUGUGUUGUAAGCUCUUGUGGUCGGUAAAGAUAGUGCUCUUCGUUCCAUACAAGUAAUGUCUCCAGAUCUUCAGGGCAAACACUACUGCUCCUAGCUCAAGAUCGUGGGUCGUGUAGUUAACCUCAUGUGUUUUCAACUGUCUCGAGGCGUAGGCGAUGACCUUACCUCGCUGCAUCAGAACACAUCCGAGUCCUUGGUUUGAUGCAUCGCAAUAAACUACGAAGUCUUCUAUUCCUUCGGGAAGGGAUAGUAUUGGUGCGGUGCACAAGGCUCGUUUGAGCGUUUGGAACGCUCUUUCUUGUUUCUCUUCCCAGUCAAAGGCCACACCUUUCUGGGUUAGGGUUGUAAGAGGCUUCGCUAUUCGUGAGAAGUUCUGAAUGAACCUGCGGUAGUAGCCAGCGAGACCUAGAAAUUGACGAAUUUCUGUAGGAGUCUUCGGUGCUGACCAGUUCUCAAUGGCCUUAAUUUUGGAUGGGUCCACGUGGAUUCCCUCUUCGCUUACCACGUGUCCUAAGAAUUCGACUCUUCGGAUCCAAAAUUCACAUUUCGAGAACUUCGCAUAAAGUUUCUCUUUUCGUAAUGUCUCUAGAACUUGUCUCAGGUGAUCGCCAUGCUCUUUCUUACCUCAGGAGUAGAUCAGGAUGUCGUCAAUGAAAACGAUGACGAACUGAUCCAAGUAAGGUCGGCAUACUCUAUUCAUCAGAUCCAUGAAGACUGCGGGCGCAUUGGUCAAUCCGAAUGGCAUCACCACGAACUCGUAGUGUCCGUAACGUGUUCGGAAGGCUGUCUUCGGCACAUCCUCCUCUAGCACUCGUAAAUGGUGAUAUCCGGAUCUCAGAUCAAUCUUGGAGAAAUAGCUCGCCCCUUGCAGUUGGUCGAAUAGAUCAUCUAUGUGUGGCAGAGGGUAACGAUUCUUGAUCGUCAAUUUGUUGAGUUCUCUGUAGUCAAUACACAUACAGAAUGAUCCGUCUUUCUUCUUAACGAACAAGACCGGUGCUCCCCAAGGUGAGAAACUUGGUCUUAUAAAGCCCUUGCUGAGCAGUUCGUUAAGUUGACCAGAGAGUUCCUGCAUCUCAGCUGGUGCUAAACGGUAGGGCGACUUGGCUACUGGGGUAGCUCCUGGGACUAAGUCGAUUCUGAACUCGACUUGUCGUUGCGGAGGUAACCCGGGUAGUUCUUCUGGGAAAAUGUCGGGGAAGUCGCUCACUACUGGGAGGUUCUUUAGUUCUUUCGUUUCUAGGUUCGUGUCGACGACGUGAGCAAGGAAUGCGUGGUAUUCUUUGCGCAGAUAUUUCUGUGCUUGAAUACUAGAUAUAAUGCGAAGACUCGCACCAGGUUUGUCGCCGUAGACUAUAAGAGUUUCGUUAGACGGGAGGUUUAGACGGACUGCUUUCUCGUAGCACAUGAUGUCGGCGCGAUGAAGACUUAACCAAUCCAUGCCGAUAAUAACGUCGAAACUUUUUAUUGAGACCGGCAUAAGGUCGAUUGGGAAUGAAUGGUUAUCUAAGGCUAGGAGGCAACCUCAGUAUAUGCUAUUAGUACUUUUAGUUUUUCCAUUGGCCAUUUCUACUGUGAAUUGUUCAUUAAGUGCGUGUGGUUGUUGCUUAAGCAUGCGAGCAAAUUUGUGGUUUACGAAGCUUCGCUCCGCUCCACUAUCGAACAGAAUGCAUGCAUAGGAGUUAUCAAGGAGGAACGUACCAGUCACCACUGUCGGGUCAGCAACUGCUUCCCCGUGGCCUAUUGCUAGUACCCUCCCUGCUCCUCCAGCAUUCCUCGCUUUGGGGCAGUCCCUUUUAAAGUGGCCUGUUUCGCCACAUCCAUAGCAAGUUGGGCUCGCGCCUGAGCCAGGAACUUGGGAGAUCGGUUGCGCCGGGAACUUACAGAAUCGGACGGUGUGUCCUUUUCUGUGGCAGUUAGAACACUGCAUUUCACGGCAGGCGCCGUUGUGGUGGAAGUUGCAUUUGUUGCACUUCGGCAAACUUCCAGAAUACUGCUUCCCCGGAGCAGUAACAGCAGUAGGGGCUACCGCAGCAUGUACUGCUACGAUUUGCUGUUUCUUUGAAGCUCGCUGCUUCUUCUUCUCAUCCCAAAACUUCCGCUUGUUGCCAGCGGGUUUAGAGGGUUCUGGGAUGGCUAGGGUGGUUGUGGUUGCAGGGGUCUUGACUCCAUGGUCAAUGAGUCUUUGUGCCAAACGCUUGGCACUGUCGAAGGUAGCGGGGUUGGAUGCUAAGACAUUCCCCUGGUACGGAGGCAUUAGCCCCCAUACGUACCGUUCGAUCUUUUUCCCUUUAGUGGGAACCAUAUUGGGGCAUAGGGCCACCAGUUCACUAAAUCGGGCAGUGUAAGCGAUCACAUUGAUGCCCUUCAUGGUCAGGUUCCAGAGUUCAUGUUCUAACUUCUGGACUUCGCCCCUCGGGCAGUAUUCCUCAGCCAUGAGGUCCUUCAUCGUUUCCCAGCCCAUGUCGUUAGCCACGACGAGAGUUAGGGCUUUGACGUGGCCGUUCCACCACGUUAGGGCUUUACCCUCAAAGGUGCAUGCGGCAUAUUUCACUUUGCACGCAGCAGGGCAUGAACAGAUUUCGAAGACUGAUUCAGUCUUCUCGAACCAUUGCGAGAGAGCAAUGACUCCGCCGGUGCCAUAGAAAGGCUUCGGCUUGCAGUUUGUGAAAUCCUUGUAGGAGCACUCUCUUGAGCGCACAGGGAUUUCGAUCGGAAUAGAUUCCACAGGGGUUCCACCUCUGCUGGCAUCUGAUGAGUGAUACUGAGCCAUGGCAGUUGCCACUGCUGCAGCUACGGCAGCAUUCAGGGCUGCAGUAUCGAUGACCGGAGGCGGUGGAGGCGGUGGAGGUGCAGGAUUAUUCCUAUUCCUGGGAGAUUUGCGAGGAGGCAUCUUUCAGCUAUAAGUUUAUAAAGAUAAGAAAGAUGGUAAGAAUCAAUUUGUAAGCAACGUGAGAGUGACACAUGGACUAACUAACCAUAGCCCAACAGUUGAAUGAGUGUUUGAAAUCACAGUAAGAAAUAUUAGUAGGAAUACACAAGUGUAUAGAUUUUUCCCACAGAUUAGAUAGAUUUCAAUAGUACUGUAUUACUGAUGUAAUAAGUUCAAGGAAAAUCGACCUAAGAGUAGGUCUUACAUCAUACCAAAAAGAUAAGUUUGACAGUUCUAAGAUUCCUAAUUAGAGUACUGAAAGUUAGGAAUAUUUUACAGACAAGUGCUACUUAGAGCACAGAUGUUUAAAGGCUAAUCCCUAAUCAAAGAGAGAGAUGUACUAGACAUCAUCUAAUGGCGAUGGGAAUUCCUCAUGCGAGCCAUGAGGUCGGACACUUGGCGAAACACCUCUUGAAGGUGUCGAUCCUGAGCUCUCUGACGAGCUCGAAGUUCCAAGACUUCAACUCGGGAGGCAGCCAGCUGUUGUUGCAGGGUUUCGUUGGUUCUCCGGGUCCGUUCCAUGUCUUCUUCAAGACGGCAGAUGCGGACUGUGUUGACACCUGAGUUGGCAUCAAUCUCCAUGACCCGGUCGAUGGCUGCUCGACCUUGCUCGACAUUACGAGCUAUUCUACGGAUAAUGACAGGCAGAGCUCGGUCAGCAGAGCCACCAUCGCUGAUGUUGUAAAAGGUUCGGUCCCCAAAGUAUGGUAAGGGUUGACCCUGUUCAUUGCACCAGCGAUUCAAGUUAUUUUCCCACAUGGGAGUAGGACCUGGAAACGCUGGUCAAGGGUUGUUAUUCGGGGCUUGACCUACAAGCGGUAGGUUGUUGACUUCAGGCUCGGAGUCGGAUCCAUCAGAAAAGCCUUCUGCGAGGUGAUCAUCCAAAGGGAUUGGAUGCUCAGCUUCGGGCUCUUCAUCGAUCCACCCGGCAUUGCCUUCAUUUGGAAAGUACGGGUCGCCAUGAUGGAAUCCAGCCAUUUAGAUCUACGCGAGAAGAGAGGUAUAAGAAUAUAGUAUACGUGUAACUAGUAGUACAAAAUACACCUAUAGUAUUUUAGUUUUAAGUUCUACUGAUCUUCUUGUGGUAUUGUUGGUAAGUUUUUAGACUUGUUAACAUAUCACAACCAUUCUAGGGCAUAUGCUAAUCACUCCUAGGACCAGCAUAGUUGAUCAGGCUAUGCCAUUCCCAGGACUGACCAUACAUCCCCGAGCUCACUUGUGAUAUUUAACAAUCGUAAUACUUUUGUUCUUGUCAUUGUGACACUGAUUUUAGUAUGAAUGCAGACUAGUAUACUUAAUUAAAUAUUUUAAUAUUUAAAGUAUAGACUCUUGGUCAGAGUGUUUUAAUCCCUUUUGGGUUUAUAGUUUAGUAUAUAUCUUUUAUGGGUUGAUAUAUUUGAUUCAGUAUAAACAAUGCUCUGAUACCAAUCUGUCGCACCCCAAAACCAAGAACGACGGAAACGUUCUGGGGCGGAGGACGUCAUGUAUAGUAUCACAACACAGUAAAUGUAAAUAAGCAAACAACAUCAUCCAUUGCAUUAAAUAUAUAAUUUCAAUACAAGUGUGUUCUGUACAGUUAUAGACACCAAAAAUAAUGUAACACAAAAUAAUAUGAGAUGAGUCUUGAAUGCACUCCAUCUUCUCAAAAGCUGGCCUCGGUACCUGUCUACUGAUGACCUGAGAAUACAAGUUAUUUUGAAAGAGUUUAUCAGCAUUAAGCUGGUGAGUUCAUAAGUAUUUUAGUGUCAAUGUUUGUUGUCAAAAAUGUUUGAACCUGUCUCAAUGUAUAAGUUUGUAAAAAUGUAAGUAAGUGUUUGAAAGUGUUUGUAAAAGUUUGAAUCUCUCAGAAAAUCCUAUAUUUUCUAUUAAAGUAACCUUCUACCAAGGCUUAACUAUUUUGUAUACUCGUUUGUUGUAAAAGUGUGUAAUUUCCCAAGUGUAACUAUCAUUUAAUAAAAUAUAGUUUGUACAUUAAUGCUUAAGUGAGGUUAUCACUAAAAUAUGUAAUGGGUAAAUCCAUGUAGUACUAUAGUUUUGUACAAUAAGAACUACUGUUGUACUAACUACCUGAAACCAGAUUUAUAUUAAGGUAUAAUGUGAUAAAUUGCACCAUGCUAUCGACUGGAAACAACGACAUACGAAUGGUCGUAAUAACGGAAUGACGUUUGGCACCCGCAGACCUGCAGGUCCGGCUGUAGCUAGCAGCAAGGUGUAGGAUAGUCAAUCCAGUAUAGAUCUAUACGCAAACUCACGCUCUCCCUCCAAGAGAAUUCUGGCUACAACUCGGGUCAUGACAUUUAAGGCAUGCUCCGACACAGUGGAUCAUAAUUGUUAACGCAUUCAUGUAUAUGUAAUGUUUUUCGUUCUCGUAUAGUUGUAUAUGUCCUGUUUCUAGUAUAGAUGUAUAUGUACAUGUUUCUAGUAUAGUUGUAUAUGUUCAUGUUUCUAGUAUAACUAUCUAUGUACAUGGUUCUGGUAUAGCUGUAUAUGUACUUGUUUCUAGUAUGGUUGUAUAUGUACUUUUUUCUAGUAUGGCUGUAUAAGUUCCUGUGUUACCCCGAUGGUAACUAACUAUUGAUGUACUGAUAAGUAUGAAUAUGGAAGUACUUUUAUGUCUAUAUAUGUAUAUAUGAUAUAUAAGUAAUAUUGAAACGACCUUCGGAUGGUCACCCGAAAUCCCACCAGACCACAUCUCAAGGCGCGAAAAGGAAAUAGGGCGGAUGGCCUUCCUAAGCCCUUUAAACAUUAUUUAUAUAUCUAUACAUAUAUGGGCAUGCAAUUGAAUAUAUAAAAGCAUAAAUAAGUUUUCAUAAGACAUUUGAAGCAUAAAUAUAAUUUCAAGAGAAGAUCGACUUGAUGUCGAUCUAUAAAACAAUUUGAAGGCAUAAGUUGAUAAAACAGUUUAAGUAUAAGAAGCAUUUGUUUGAAUCACAGUCUAUAAAUAAGUUUGGAUAGUAAAAGAGUUUGUAAAACAUUUCAAAGUAAAGCAGUUUGAUAAACAGUUUGAACAGUGGUAAAAAUCGUUGUUUUCCUAGUUAUUAAUCACAUGUGAUUAAAUGCAAUCACAUGUGAUUGAAGCAAUAACUAUAAGUAUUUGACUUGUACCCCCCCCCAUAAAGUAUUUAAAACAUUUAAAAUCAUUUCAAAGGUUGAUUCAAGGGGUAUGAACUCACUUGUGGUGAGUUGUACGAAUUGCAGUGUCGGAUACCGUGCUAGGUGGCAAACGGAGACUUGUUUACACGCACGAGCCUAGUUAUCAUAUAAUAAGCAUAUAUAUAACUAAUUAGCCAAAUAAUAACUUAAUAAAUAAGUUAAAACACUUAGGAACAUGUAAACACUUUUUAUAAGUGUUAAAGGUCCUAAUGGUUGCAUCUAAGUUGCUACGGGACAAGGCAAAAGGGUUUGAAACAUCAAAUGGCCU